rnacentral:rRNA from 1 species
GAUGAACGCUGGCGGCGUGCCUAAUACAUGCAAGUCGAGCGAACAGACGAGGAGCUUGCUCCUCUGACGUUAGCGGCGGACGGGUGAGUAACACGUGGAUAACCUACCUAUAAGACUGGGAUAACUUCGGGAAACCGGAGCUAAUACCGGAUAAUAUAUUGAACCGCAUGGUUCAAUAGUGAAAGACGGUUUUGCUGUCACUUAUAGAUGGAUCCGCGCCGCAUUAGCUAGUUGGUAAGGUAACGGCUUACCAAGGCAACGAUGCGUAGCCGACCUGAGAGGGUGAUCGGCCACACUGGAACUGAGACACGGUCCAGACUCCUACGGGAGGCAGCAGUAGGGAAUCUUCCGCAAUGGGCGAAAGCCUGCCGGAGCACCGCCGCGUGAGUGAUGAAGGUCUUCGGAUCGUAAAACUCUGUUAUUAGGGAAGAACAAAUGUGUAAGUACCUAUGCACGUCUUGACGGUACCUAAUCAGAAAGCCACGGCUAACUACGUG